rnacentral:snRNA from 18 species
CCAGCUCUCUUUGCCUUUUGGCUUAGAUCAAGUGUAGUAUCUGUUCUUUUCAGUUUAAUCUCUGAAACUGGUCUAUUUGACCAGAAUCAAAUGAUUAUACUUAUUUUUGUCACUAGGAGGGUUUCCGCUGGGCUUGCCCAUGAUUCCCUCCACUGUGUCCCUCCUAUCACACUGCCUGGAGGCGACGCGAACCUUU